AACCUGGUUGAUCCUGCCAGUAGUCAUACGCUUGUCUCAAAGAUUAAGCCAUGCAUGUCUAAGUAUAAACAAUCUAUACUGUGAAACUGCGAAUGGCUCAUUAUAUCAGUUAUAGUUUAUUUGAUAGACCUUACUACUUGGAUAACCGUAGUAAUUCUAGAGCUAAUACAUGCGUUAAGUCCCGACUGUUUCGGAAGGGAUGUAUUUAUUAGAUAGAGACCAUCGCGGCCUUGUGCCGGUAUUGUGGUGACUCAUAAUAACUUUGCGAAUCGUAUGGCCUUGUGCCGACGAUGAAUCAUUCAAGUUUCUGCCCUAUCAGCUGUCGAUGGUAGGGUAUUGGCCUACCAUGGCGUUAACGGGUGACGGAGAAUUAGGGUUCGAUUCCGGAGAGGGAGCCUGAGAAACGGCUACCACAUCUAAGGAUGGCAGCAGGCGCGUAAAUUACCCAAUUCUGAUUCAGAGAGGUAGUGACAAUAAAUAACAAUGCGGGGCUCUUUCGAGUCUUGCAAUUGGAAUGAGUACAAUUUAAAUCCCUUAACGAGGAUCAAUUGGAGGGCAAGUCUGGUGCCAGCAGCCGCGGUAAUUCCAGCUCCAAUAGC
rnacentral:rRNA from 1 species